GGCGCACGGUGGAUGCCUUGGCACUAGAAGCCGAUGAAGGACGUUACUAACGACGAUAUGCUUUGGGGAGCUGUAAGUAAGCUUUGAUCCAGAGAUUUCCGAAUGGGGAAACCCAGCAUGAGUUAUGUCAUGUUAUCGAUAUGUGAAUACAUAGCAUAUCAGAAGGCACACCCGGAGAACUGAAACAUCUUAGUACCCGGAGGAAGAGAAAGAAAAUUCGAUUCCCUUAGUAGCGGCGAGCGAAACGGGAAGAGCCCAAACCAACAAGCUUGCUUGUUGGGGUUGUAGGACACUCUAUACGGAGUUACAAAGGACGACAUUAGACGAAUCAUCUGGAAAGAUGAAUCAAAGAAGGUAAUAAUCCUGUAGUCGAAAAUGUUGUCUCUCUUGAGUGGAUCCUGAGUACGACGGAGCACGUGAAAUUCCGUCGGAAUCUGGGAGGACCAUCUCCUAAGGCUAAAUACUCUCUAGUGACCGAUAGUGAACCAGUACCGUGAGGGAAAGGUGAAAAGCACCCCGGAAGGGG
rnacentral:rRNA from 1 species